CAGCCGCGGUAAUACAGAGGCCCCAAGCGUUAGGCGGAAUCACUGGGCUUAAAGCGUGUGUAGGCGGAUCGUUAAGUGUCUUGUGAGAUCCCACGGCUCACCCGUGGAACUGCUGGGCAUACUGGCGAUCUUGGGCCAACUAGGGGCAGUCGGAACAAGCGGUGGAGCGGUGAAAUGCGUAGAUAUCGCUUGGAACGCCGAAGGUGAAAACAGACUGCUGGGGUUGUGCCGACGCUGAGACACGAAAGCCAGGGGAGCAAACGGGAUUAGAUACCCCGGUAGUCCUGGCCCUAAACGAUGUCCACUAGAUUACGGCGCCUUUGACGGCGUCGUGGUCGAAGCAAAAGUGUUAA
rnacentral:rRNA from 1 species